ACUCAAAUGAAUAGACGGGGACCCGCACAAGCGGAGGAGCAUGUGGUUUAAUUCGACGGUAAGCGAGGAACCUUACCUGGGUUUGAAAUGUAGCUGCAAGCCUUUGGAAACAUUGGCCGCCUUCGAGGGUGCUACACAGGUGCUGCAUGGUUGCCGUCAGCUCGUGUCGUGAGAUGUACCGUUAAGUCGGGUAACGAGCGCAACCCCCGUCCCGUGUUGUUUUUUCACGGGAGACCGCCUCGGAUAACGGGGAGGAAGGUGGGGAUGACGUCAAAUCAGCAUGGCUCUUACAUCCAGGGCCACACACGUGCUACAAUGGCCGGUACAAUGGGUCGCCAAGCCGCAAGGCGGAGCUAAUCCCAACAAAACCGGCCCCAGUUCGGAUUGGGGGCUGCAAUUCGCCCCCAUGAAGCCGGAUUCGCUAGUAAACGCAUAUCAGCCACGGUGCGUUGAAUACGUUCUCGGGUCUUGUACACACCGCCCGU
rnacentral:rRNA from 1 species